rnacentral:misc_RNA from 1 species
AAAAAAAAAAAAAAAAAAAGUUUCUCCGAGCAAUGCAACCACCCAUUUGCAAGCAGACAUUUUUUAAUAUUGUAAGGUGCUCAAAUUUUCAAGACAAGUUAUUCAAGACUCAGAUUUUUUUAUUAUUCUCCCAAUUAUCAGAACUACUAGAGAAAUAAUGAAAUAAAUUUGAUCUGCCUACUGUGCCUGUAAGCAUGUACAUUCAAAUCUGCAUUAAAAGCUCUUAUCAAAAAUAUCCUCCAAGAGAGGACAAGGCAAUGUGUAUGGACAAAUACAUUGUUCCUAACUUAUUGGAUCAUAGAGAAAUUUCAUUUUAUUUUAUACUCUGCAAUGCAAAGACUUGAUUUUAAUUUACC